GUUCUCAAUUUGGCAGCACAUAUAUUAAAGUUGGAACAAUACAAAAAAAGACUAACAUGGCCCCUGUGCAAGGAGAACUUAUAAAUGUGCAAAGCAUUCUUUGUAUUU
ensembl:snRNA U6 U6 spliceosomal RNA